rnacentral:misc_RNA from 1 species
CACACUCCAAGCUCUGCUUGAUGUUGGACGACCCGAGAGAUCGGACGUCUGGAACGUGUGGGCGUCGGGCGUCGGACCACGAGCGUAGCAAGCCCUUGCAGUCAAGUCGUUCUGUGGAGCCGGCGGUCGACCGCCUCUCUAUAAACUUAAUUCACAA